GAGAUUUGUUGUCUUCUAUUAAAGGUCUUUAACAAAAUUCCAGAAAAAUUGCAUAUAUAAAAUUUUAUAUAUAUGUAUGUAUAUAAACUAGAAUGUACGAGUAUAUAUAAGAAAUUGAUUAUUUAUACUGAUUCACAAUUUUGUGUCUAUAGCUAAUCUGAGUACGAAAAUCAAUUGAUCGAGGAAAGUGACCAUGAAGAAGAGGAAGAACAAGAACCAUUUGAUGUGCAAGAGGAAGAUAAUGAUCAAGAUAUUUCAAAAGCUCUCGCCCCCAAAGGAGUCCAGUAGUUCCUGGAAAGAUUUGAGUUGUGAUUGAUUUAUCUAAAUAAAGUGAAGGAAACACUUGGAUCAAGUACUUGUUUUAUUUGAGUUAUUCACCAGUAACCACAAGCAGCAUCUUUGGUGUUCUGUUCUUGAUUUCCCUGCAAUUUGUGGUCUUAAUUGCUCAUUUUUUUGCUUGCUGAUAUUUUUGGCCUCCAGAAGUUGGUAUUAUUUAAGUGGAGCAAGGAGCAAAUUCAUGAACGGGAGUUUUUGAAGUACUGUUAUAGGCUAGGAUGUCUCAUCUUUUUAACCUUAAAGUUUGUAGCUUUUAAAUUUGGCCGAACUUUUAAAAGUAUAUACUGAGACAAGUUUACCAUUCCGCAUUCUCAGUUUCUAUGUUCACAUUGCAAUUUUUAUCAUCAAUUCUUUCAACAUUUGUUCAUCCCAGUAUGUCUCCUUUUAUAGCUUUUCUAUGUGUUCUGUUUUGCAUCAUUCUUAUUUAUUCC